rnacentral:rRNA from 1 species
UGGGGAAUUUUGGACAAUGGGCGAAAGCCUGAUCCAGCAAUGCCGCGUGUGUGAAGAAGGCCUUCGGGUUGUAAAGCACUUUUGUCCGGAAAGAAAUCCUUGACUCUAAUACAGUCGGGGGAUGACGGUACCGGAAGAAUAAGCACCGGCUAACUACGUGCCAGCAGCCGCGGUAAUACGUAGGGUGCAAGCGUUAAUCGGAAUUACUGGGCGUAAAGCGUGCGCAGGCGGUUUGCUAAGACCGAUGUGAAAUCCCCGGGCUCAACCUGGGAACUGCAUUGGUGACUGGCAGGCUAGAGUAUGGCAGAGGGGGGUAGAAUUCCACGUGUAGCAGUGAAAUGCGUAGAGAUGUGGAGGAAUACCGAUGGCGAAGGCAGCCCCCUGGGCCAAUACUGACGCUCAUGCACGAAAGCGUGGGGAGCAAAACAGGAUUAGAUACCCUGGUAGUCCACGCCCUAAACGAUGUCAACUAGUUGUUGGGGAUUCAUUUCCUUAGUAACGUAGCUAACGCGUGAAGUUGACCGCCUGGGGAGUACGGUCGCAAGAUUAAAACUCAAAUGAAUU